UGGGGAAUAUUGCACAAUGGGGGGAACCCUGAUGCAGCAAUGCCGCGUGAAGGAUGAAGGUUUUUCGGAUUGUAAACUUCUUUUGUACGGGACGAAGAAAGUGACGGUACCGUAAGAAUAAGCCACGGCUAACUACGUCGCC
rnacentral:rRNA from 1 species